AGGGUUUGAUCAUGGGGCUCAGAAUGAACGCUGGCGGCGUGCCUAACACACGCAAGUCGAGCGAGAAAGUGGGCUUCGGCCCGCGAGUAAAGCGGCGAACGGGUGAGUAACACGUGGGUAACCUGCCUAGGAGUGGGGGAUAACCUGGGGAAACUCGGGCUAAUACCGCAUACGUCCUCGGGCACUUCGGUUCUGAGGGGAAAGCUUGCCUCUGCAUGCAAGCUGGCGCUCCUAGAGGGGCCCGCGUCCGAUUAGCUUGUUGGUGAGGNAACGGCUCACCAAGGCGACGAUCGGUUAGCCGGCCUGAGAGGGCGAUCGGCCACACUGGGACUGAGACACGGCCCAGACUCCUACGGGAGGCAGCAGUGGGGAAUAUUGGACAAUGGGCGCCAAGCCUGAUCCAGCAACGCCGCGUGGAGGAAGAAGGCCUUCGGGUCG
rnacentral:rRNA from 1 species